GCUGUGUGUUUAAAAUAUGUUGAGUGACCUUCCUUCACUGCUACUGUCCUCCUCUAGGGGUUUUGAACAGUCAAUAAGGCUGAACUCCCACCAGAUCUUAGUGAGACGGUUAUGGGAAGAUGGUUGGACAAACGCCUGCCAUUGAAAAGUGAGGCACGACAAGAAAAUGAAUACAAUUAGAGGAAGACAGAAAAAAGAAAAGUCAGGUGAGAUAUAGAUUUAAAUGCAAGAAAAAUAAUUGAAACACAACAUGAGCUGGAAUAUACACAGUAUCUUGGUAAAG